AGAAUCAACGCUGGCGGCGUGCCUAACACAUGCAAGUCGCACGAGAAAGGGGAGCAAUCCCUGAGUACAGUGGCGCACGGGUGAGUAACACGUGAAUGAUCUACCUCCGAGUGGGAAUAACUGAGAGAAAUCUUAGCUAAUACCGCAUAAUACCCACGGGUCAAAGCAGUAAUGCGCUUGGAGAGGAGUUCGCGGCAGAUUAGUUAGUUGGCGGGUAAUGGCCCACCAAGACGAUGAUCUGUA
rnacentral:rRNA from 1 species